rnacentral:misc_RNA from 1 species
AAAAACAAUAAAUAUUUGAAAGGAAAAAAUGUGAAUGUGUUAGACAAAAUUGUCUUUGCGACCUCCAACUACAAGUCAGUUGGUACUAAAUAGACAUGGAUGAUAGGUUUUUCCCUCGUGCUACAACAGUGGAGAACGUCUAUGGAUUCUAUUUUCGGAAACCUAUUUCAUGUUUUCAACUAUUCGCAACUCUAUCUCUAGCCUCAGUAUCAGAAACUUCAAGCAAUUCACUUCUUCUUCUUCGACUUGUUAGAGAGCGAUUGAGAAUACGCAGUUCCCUCAAGCCAUUCAUCCGUGGAUGCAUCUGUUGUUGCUGUUCCAACUUCAACCUUUGCCUUUGGUGCUCUCUUAGUUUUCUUUGAGAGAUUUUGUAUCUGACCACGAAUCCAGAAUCCAAGAAGGGCAAGGAGGGCAAUUCCAAGACAAAACAAGAAAACAGACUCAACACUGAGAAGACCACCAGGCUCAGUCACUUCAAUAGUGCCAUUGUAGAAUGUACUUUGAAAAGGGUUCUGGUCUAUCUCAUAAACAAUAAUACCGACAAGAUCAAAGCUUCCGGGCUGCAUAAAUUUGCUGACAGCAAAUAUAUAUGGGAAAGUGGCCUGAGCAGAAGGUGGAACUGUAGCAUUGUUAAAAGCCUGUACAGACAGAUUUUGAACCAAAUAGCGGUGAUCAAAAGGAAGGUGAACGCUGGCUUGGAUUGCAAUGAUAUUCAAACUUGAAUCUCCAUCAUUUUUCAUUCCAACUAACAGCUCACUUUCCUCACCAGCUGCCACUACCUUAGAAGGGUUUUUGGGGAAAACACAAACCGUCUCAAUCCCAGGUGCGGGACUAAAACUAUCACUGCCAAAAUCCCGGACAUCCUCAUCAACAAUUCCAAGAUCUCCUGCUUCUCCAGUGCCUUCUACCACAUCUGUUUCAGGGUCGGAUUGACAUCUAGCAACUUGAAUGAAUGGUGCAGAGAAGAGGAUGAGAGCGAGGAAAACAGAGAAAACCCUAAUCGACAUUGUAGAUCGAAGAUGAAGAUGGAGAGAGCUAACAGAAAUGUAGAGCUGAGCUAAGAAGGACCCAAAAAAAAAAAAA